rnacentral:rRNA from 1 species
UUCGCAAUGCCCGAAAGGGUGACGAAGCGACGCCGCGUGGGUGAGGAAGGCCUUCGGGUUGUAAAGCCCUGUCAGGAGUUAAGAAAUGUAAGUGCGCUAAUAUCGCAUUUAUUUGACGAAGGCUCCAAAGGAAGUCACGGCUAACUCUGUGCCAGCAGCCGCGGUAAUACAGAGGUGGCAAGCGUUGUUCGGAAUUAUUGGGCGUAAAGAGCACGUAGGUGGGUUUGUAAGUCAGAUGUGAAAGCCUUUUGUUCAACGGAAGAAUUGCAUCUGAAACUGCGAGUCUUGAGUGUAGGAGGGGAGAAUGGAACUUCUGGUGGAGCGGUGAAAUGCGUAGAUAUCAGAAGGAACGCCGGCGGCGAAAGCGAUUCUCUGGCCUAUUACUGACACUCAGUGUGCGAAAGCUAGGGGAGCAAACGGGAUUAGAUACCCCGGUAGUCCUAGCCGUAAACGAUGGGCACUAAGUAGAGGGGUUUU